GGAAAGCCAUUUCCAUUUCCUCAAUAAAACACGCUAUAAGUUAAGAGUUAACAAACGAUAGCUACAAUACAUUAACUAGCUAAGACCAGACAAGAUACUCUCUAACUACAAUGUGAAUAUCAGGCUACAACAUGUACAAAUUCUGUUUAAGAAUACAAUUAAAUUUCCUUCUUUCUGACACUGUUCAGGACAUCAAGCUAGAGAAGCUCUGGGGUUCUUCGGAUAUUUCCCCAAAAUAUCCAAGACUCUUACUCGGUGCGCCUCUUUUGCUUCCUCCAAGGCAAGCCGUAUGGACCUCUUCUCCAGUUCAACAGCAUGAUUGCUUAGGUCAACAGAGGAGAGAGAACGAAGCAUCUGUACAUAAUCCUCUUGCUUUGAGUGCUCCAGUCUGUGCAACAAGUUCUGCAAUUGGAAAUACCGCUCUUCCCAAUGCUUAAAAUUAACCUUCUUGGGAUUAUCCAACAAUAGUCUGGUAGACGUGACUUGAUGGUUGCUAACAUUAAC
rnacentral:misc_RNA from 1 species